ensembl:lncRNA
UUGACACUGGGAAGGAGAGAUUAGAAGAGGAGUAUCUCCACUUAUUCUGCUUGUUUGAAAACAUUCCCCUGCUUUUUCUCUUUCUUUCUCUGUCUCUCUGGUAUGACCCUGUUCAAGAGUGAAUAUCACAGCCUAAGACAUAAAACCAUGACUGGGGAAAUGAGAGCCAGCCGCCCAAAGGCGGGAACCAAGAGAGCCAGCAGUGAGGCCUACAGAGUGUUUGACUACCAGCGUGUCCCGGCCUCCAUGAUGCCAGCAGAGCCCAGCCCUCUGAAACGCUCGCGAGGCCCGUCUUCCGGCCUGCACCGCUCCAGAGACAGAGCACAGGGCAAGAGGAGCACGCAGCACACCGGUUCCACCAACACCAGGGUCAAGUUGAAGAUGGCAGAGCUGCUGGCCAUAAAGACGGAGUUGACUCUGAUCAAGGUGCAGAUUGAUGGUCUGCUGGACAGUGUUGACAAGAUGGACAGACAGAGGAAGGACCAAUCAGAUUCACCUCUGACCCGGGAGGGUAGUGUGUCGGACUCGGUGAGCAGUCUGGACGACUCCCCCACCAGCCUCCCCCAAAGACAGAGAGAGAGCCCGGAGCCGGGAGAGGCCAGCGAGGAUGAUCACCACCACCAGAACCCCCACCGGAUGAAUUACUCUGAUCUGGAGGAUGACAUGUGAGCCGAUCAGUGACUCAGUCGACUCGGUGACGACAGCAGCACCGACAGAUGCCGGCAUACUCCAGAGAGCAGGAAGAGAUCAUCUCUGAUGACAGUCUACAUGGACAGCACCCUCAAACAUACAAAGUCACAAAGUUUGAUCUUCAGUGAAUCUUUUCAUUUGAUUUAUAGGAAAUACCUCUCUGGUUUUCUUUCAUAUCUUCAUCACUCCUUUGCAACGAGUUCCUACCGACUAAUGGACAAAAAAUGGCAGCUUAAAAAAAUAAUAAAAAAUGUUGUUGCUUAAGGAAAGGGACUGACUGAUGCACAUUAGAUUAUUCAUAAGGUUUAUGUAUAACCUCAUCUACUAUUUCCAUAGGUGUCUAAAAACUGUCCAUAUCCACGUAAAUAAAGACAGUCAGUGUGACGACAGCUGUGUUAUCACUUGGCUCAUAAACACCAGGCUGACUGGCUUUAUUUGAAGCCAGAUGCUUGGAACUAUUAGCACAGCAGUUUACAUGGUUUUAUGUUGACUUGACUGACUGAAAAACUCAGUUGUAAAUCUAGAGGAGAGUACUGCUGUUGUUUGUGACCAGUGUGAGAAGUGAUACGUAUAUGCUGACUAGUGGCUACUUAGAGAACAAACCGCCAUGUUUUGUUAUUGUCAAUGACUUGAGGAGGAAUUCUUCUGAUUGCGUUAUCCUGGGGACCAUUUGGGCUGUCAAAAUGAUUUUUUUUCAUGUCACAACUAAAAACUGUUAUUCAUUGUAGAUUAUUCAUUUACCAUCAUUCAGACAUAAUGUUUACUACAGUAUAUUUAAAACCACAUUGUUUGAAAACAACUGUUUAAAGGGUACAUUUUAAUGAUCAAGAAAACAAAUCCAGACUGUAUUUACUCUGAAAAAAAAUCUGUGUUAGAUUCCCUUUGUUUUUAUUUUUCAUAAUUAUCUGUUUCAUGAAGUCUGGAGGUUUUUGUUUAUAACGUACUCAAUGUAAAGUACAUUGUGACAGUAGUAAAGGUAUGAUUAUUUUCAUAUACCUGAGUGGGCCUAUUUACCUGAUGAUACAUUUCAGGAGUAGUCUAUAGGCCUAGAAAUUUGGUCGUUUUUUGGAUUGGUAUUGUUCUAUUCAGCCUUGUUAAUUUCAUACAUGGUAACAACCGUAACUUAAUUGUUAGGCUAUUCUGUGAGUUGGCUGGACUUUAGAUGGAGAGGAAAUUGAUGUAUGAACAUUCGUCCUCUCAACACACUUUCCAUGAACUCAUUUUAAAGAAAAAACGUGUUUAAUUAUUUGUUUUAAUAUCUAUAUUUUUGCAUGGACAUUGAAUGGACCAAUCUUUUUAUA